rnacentral:sRNA from 2 species
ACUCAGGUGCACUAGGGUUCCGACCGCUUCCGCGGUGUCUGGUCCGAGAGUGUGCCGGCCUCAUCGCAGGCUCCACGGAGGGACAAAAGCCCGGGAGAA